rnacentral:rRNA from 1 species
UUUGUGUACCCCGCGGCUUAAGCAUAUCAAUAAGCGGAGGAAAAGAAACCAACCGGGAUUGCCCUAGUAACGGCGAGUGAAGCGGCAACAGCUCAAAUUUGAAAUCUGGCCCUAGUGGUCCGAGUUGUAAUUUGUAGAGGAUGCUUUUGGUGCGGUACCUUCCGAGUUCCCUGGAACGGGACGCCAUAGAGGGUGAGAGCCCCGUCUGGUCGGAUACCAAUCCUCUGUAAAGCUCCUUCGACGAGUCGAGUAGUUUGGGAAUGCUGCUCAAAAUGGGAGGUAUAUGUCUUCUAAAGCUAAAUAUUGGCCAGAGACCGAUAGCGCACAAGUAGAGUGAUCGAAAGAUGAAAAGCACUUUGAAAAGAGGGUUAAAUAGUACGUGAAAUUGUUGAAAGGGAAGCGUUUGUGACCAGACUUGGGCCCGGUUAAUCAUCCGGCGUUCUCGCCGGUGCACUUUGCCGGCCCAGGCCAGCAUCAGUUCGCUGCGGGGGAAAAAGGCUUCGGGAAUGUGGCUCCUCUGGAGUGUUAUAGCCCGCUGCGUAAUACCCUGUGGUGGACUGAGGUUCGCGCAUCUGCAAGGAUGCUGGCGUAAUGGUCAUCAACGACCCGUCUUGAAACACGGACCAAGGAGUCGUCUUCGUAUGCGAGUGUUCGGGUGUCAAACCCCUACGCGUAAUGAAAGUGAACGGAGGUGGGAGCCUCGGCGCACCAUCGACCGAUCCUGAUGUUUUCGGAUGGAUUUGAGUAAGAGCAUACGGGGCCGGACCCGAAAGAAGGUGAACUAUGCCUGUAUAGGGUGAAGCCAGAGGAAACUCUGGUGGAGGCUCGCAGCGGUUCUGACGUGCAAAUCGAUCGUCAAAUAUGGGCAUGGGGGCGAAAGACUAAUCGAACCUUCUAGUAGCUGGUUUCCGCCGAGUCCUCCCCUCUCGGAUAUAA